rnacentral:tmRNA from 1 species
GGGGGUGUUUCGGUUUCGACUGGCGGAAGAUCAGGCCAGUGACUGCAAGCGGAGCGCCAACUCCUUAAACUAGCAAACCUUUUAACUGCCAAAAAAGAAGACGAAGUCUCCUUCGAAGCAGAAUACGCCCUCGCUGCGUAACCGCACGACGACGUACAGGUCCGUUUCCUGCUGGUCCUAAGGAACGAUCGCCUGUAAAAGUAGGAUCUUACCCGACCCAGUGCCUGUGGGGGAAGGGGACAUCAAAGCGGGCUACAGAGGUCGGACGUCUUGUUGGUGAACCCGCCGCUCUCUGGAACCUUUGAUCACCGACUAAGCUUGUAGACGUUGCUGGAUGGCACGUUAGGACGGGGGUUCGAAUCCCCCCACCUCCAAAA